rnacentral:rRNA from 1 species
AUACGUAGGUGGCAAGCGUUGUCCGGAAUUAUUGGGCGUAAAGCGCGCGCAGGUGGUUCCUUAAGUCUGAUGUGAAAGCCCACGACUCAACCGUGGAGGGUCAUUGGAAACUGGGGAACUUGAGUGCAGAAGAGGAAAGUGGAAUUCCAAGUGUAGCGGUGAAAUGCGUAGAGAUUUGGAGGAACACCAGUGGCGAAGGCGGCUUACUGGUCCAUUACUGACGCUGAGGCGCGAAAGCGUGGGGAGC